UUCAGCUCCGUGGAUCCGAACAUUGAACGUGUAAUCCAAACUAAGCUGACAUAGUCAGACAGCAUCUGAUGGUCCAGACAUUGUUUCACGAGUUUUUAAUAUACUCGGAUACGUGAGGCCUGUUGGAGCAUGUGAUCGUAUAUACGGUAGAUCUUUCAAAAAUAAAAGUCAUGCUGUUAUUAGGAUGCCAGUACAUUUACCUAAUCAGCAAAGUGACAAGAGAAGAAGUGUAGAUCAUAAUUUGAAGGCUCUACUGGUUUUCCUUGAGACGCUGCCCACGACAAAUUUCACAAAAAAGGGAAUUAAAAGGGCCUGAGUUGAGGAAACUAUUUCAAAUGGAACAUCAGGUUUUGAAAUUCCCAAAAAAGAUCUCAUACGAUUUGUUAAGAGCAAAAUAAACGUCGAGGAGUUCAUUGAACAAGUUUUAAAAACAACUCAAGACAGGAUCCAGCUUUACAUCUUAUGUCUUCAAUCGGAGGCUGGAGAUAAGUUUUUUUUUUAAUUGCCGACAGCCACAGAAUUGAAAUAGCCGACAUUGGAUCUCCACUAGCAGCGUUUGACAUACUUUUUAAAAUACAUUAUGACCUGAAUGUUUGUUACGCGAAUUCACUAAAAU